rnacentral:rRNA from 1 species
GUGCCAGCCGCCGCGGUAAUACAGAGGUCCCGAGCGUUGUUCGGAUUCACUGGGCGUAAAGGGUGCGUAGGUGGUGAGGUAAGUCGGAUGUGAAAGCUCUGAGCUCAACUCAGAAAAUGCAUUGGAAACUACCUUGCUUGAGGAUUGGAGGGGGGACUGGAAUUCUCGGUGUAGCAGUGAAAUGCGUAGAGAUCGAGAGGAACACCAGUGGCGAAGGCGAGUCCCUGGACAAAUCCUGACGCUGAGGCACGAAAGCUAGGGGAGCAAACAGGAUUAGAAACCCCAGUAGUCC